rnacentral:ncRNA from 1 species
AAAAGUUUUAUUUUGGCUUGAGUCUUUACUUUAUUUUUUAUUUUUAUGUAAGUUUUUGCUUUAUUGUUAGAAAAUUGAUUUGGCAGUGAUUAGUUUUAAAUAUUUAGGGAACUAAGAUUUAGAAAUAAAUAUUUACUCUAACUUAAUUUGUGCCAGCAGUUGCGGUUAAACAAAUAGAGUUUGUGAAGAUUUUUGGAUUGUAGUUAAGAUUUUAAAGUUUAGUAUAAAAUUUAUUUUUUUAGGUGAAAUUUUAAAUUAAAUUUUUUCUUAGACUAUGAAGCUACUAAAUUUGAUUAUAAACUAGGAUUAGAUACCCUAUUAUUUUAAAUGUAAAUUUUUAUCUAGGUUAGUAUUAGUUAUAUUCUUUAAAACAAAAGAAUUUGGCGGUAUUUUAGUCUUUUCAGAGGAACCUGCCCUGUAAUUGAUAAUCCACGAUUAUUUUUACUUGUAAUUAAUUAAGCUUGUAUAUCGUUGUGGUUGAUUUUUUUAUAAGAAAUUUAAAUUGUUAGGAUUCUUAAUUAUGAAGGAAGUCAGAUCAAGAUGCAGCUAUGAACAAGGAGAGGUGGGUUACAAUAAAUUUAUUUAAAUGGUUAAGGUUUUUAGAAAAUUUUAUAAAGUGGAUUUGAAAGUAAUUAUUAAAUUAUUUUUUUAUAAUGAGUUAGCUCUAGGAUAUGCACAUAUCGCCCGUCGCUUCCACAAAAAUGGAAUAAGUCGUAACAAAGUAGGCGUACUGGAAAGUGUGCCUAGAAAGAUC